GAUGAACGCUGGCGGCGUGCCUAAUACAUGCAAGUCGAGCGAACAGAAGAGGAGCUGGCUGCUCUGACGUUAGCGGCGGGCGGGUGAGUAACAUGAGGAUAACCUACAUAAAAGACUGGGAUAACUACGGGAAAGCGGAGCAAAUACCGGAAGAUAAACGGAACGGAAUGUUUGAAUAGUGAAAGACGGUAUUACUGUCGCUUAGAGAUGUGCCGGAGCAGCUUGAGGUAGUUGGUAAGGUAACGGCUUACCAAGGCAACGAUGCGUAGCCGACCUGAGAGGGUGAUCGGCAACACUAGAACUGAGACACGGUCCAGCCUCCUCUGGGAGGCAGCAGUAGGGAAUCUUACUCACUGGGCGGAAGCCUGACGUGGCAGCGCCGCGUGAGUGAUGAAGGUCUUCGGAUCGUAAUACUCUGUUAUUAGGGAAGAACAGAUCUGUAAGUAGCUAUGCACGUCUUGACGGUACCUAAUCAGAAAGCCACGGCUAACUACGUG
rnacentral:rRNA from 1 species